UUGAAAAUAAUAUUUUAUACCAUAGCUUAACAUCAGUGAUAAUAAUCACAGAGUAAAGGAACUAGUCUUUUCACGGCUUUUACUAGACUUUGUCUAGCGGCCAUAUACAAUAACGAGGCUCAGGUAAGUGACGUCUAUUUGUCACCAAGGAGCGAUGUUUUUGUUAGUUGUGCUUAAAUAGACUCGGCUAAAAGUCACGUCACUAGUAUUAAGAAUCAUCAUACCAUAUAUUGGAAGUUUCCUAUUCUUAACCUACGUUAACUUGAGGUAAUAUUGUCAAAGUAGCUGCUUAAAGCAGUGAUGACAGGGACUCAAUUCGAUCAAGUAUUUUAGGAAACAGAGAACAGUUUUGUACCCUUUUUAGAUUCUUUUUUAGGUUUUGUGCUUCUGAUCUUUAGAAGGCGGAAAAACCUUUAACCCUAACCAGAGUACAUUCUACUUAUCGCAUUUAAAAAUAAAAUAUAUUUGCGAUAAGGGAAUGACAGGCUAUUUUAUUAAGCUGUUUUGUGAGGAAGAUUACAAGCGAUAUUGAUUAAAAUGUUCCAUUCGGUUGACUUUGCAUAAUUUUGUUAAAUAUUUACUUUAGAUAAGAGUGAUAGGCAGUGACGUGUAUCGUUAUCUAAGGUUUGAUGAUACUUGGCUUGUCUGCGGGCUGGUCAGUCACAGACUGAUGGUCAUCAGUAUCUGACUGGCUUUAUAAUAGUAGAUUGUUUUGGUUUUUUUGAUUGAUUUGUCAAAUCAUCGAGUGUUCUAUGAUUUAAGUCUGUGUUUUUUUUGCUAGUUCAACUCUUUUGUACUUUAUUGAGAUCAUACAGAGGCAGUAUAAGGUCACAACAACACCUCUUACUAUAAUGCAAUAGGGUAUUUGACUUCAUAUAAUAAUAUAAACCUGGUUAACUAAAA